AUUAAUAAAGGCCGAUACAGUUGUUUCACAAGCUUACAGGAUAGUAUGUGUGUAUGUAUGGUUAGUAGGUAUGGUGUCGAUGUAGCAGGUAUAGUUAGUCAUGUGUCGCUGAAUGACACAACGUACGUACGGCUGAAUCUCACGGUCAGCUAACUCGAUCAGCGUUAUGCGGGUUGAAGCGGAAUUGUCGUAGAUUUGAGAGAUUUGAGAGAUUUAAGAGCUAGAUGUCGGGCCAUAGGCGGGUAUACGUCAGCAGGAGCCUGUCACGCGCGACAGGGCGCGCGCAGUUUUAAUCAACGUAUAAUCGGUGUGUAAGUUUGUGUUCCACACAUGAUCGGUCCUAGGACUCACGUCGGGGUACAAGAGUCGACGUUAUUGAACGGCAUUUCUGUACGCAAAACCGUUACACAACCGCGUUCACACG